AUAUCAAUAAGCGGAGGAAAAGAAACCAACCGGGAUUGCCCUAGUAACGGCGAGUGAAGCGGCAAGAGCUCAAAUUUGAAAGCUGGCCCCCUCGGGGUCCGCAUUGUAAUUUGCAGAGGAUGCUUCGGGAACGGCCCCCAUCUAAGUGCCCUGGAACGGGCCGUCAUAGAGGGUGAGAAUCCCGUCUGGGAUGGGGUGGCCGCGCCCGUGUGAAGCUCCUUCGACGAGUCGAGUUGUUUGGGAAUGCAGCUCUAAUUGGGUGGUAAAUUUCAUCUAAAGCUAAAUAUUGGCCGGAGACCGAUAGCGCACAAGUAGAGUGAUCGAAAGAUGAAAAGCACUUUGAAAAGAGAGUUAAACAGCACGUGAAAUUGUUGAAAGGGAAGCGCUUGCGACCAGACUCGCCCGCGGGGUUCAGCCGGCACUCGUGCCGGUGUACUUCCCCGCGGGCGGGCCAGCGUCGGUUUGGGCGGCCGGUCAAAGGCCUCUGGAAGGUAACGCCUCUCGGGGCGUCUUAUAGCCAGGGGUGCCAUGCGGCCUGCCCGGACCGAGGAACGCGCUUCGGCUCGGACGCUGGCAUAAUGGUCGUAAGCGAC
rnacentral:rRNA from 1 species